GAUGAACGCUGGCGGCGUGCUUAACACAUGCAAGUCGAACGGAAAGGCCCUAGCUUGCUUGGGUACUCGAGUGGCGAACGGGUGAGUAACACGUGGGUGAUCUGCCCUGCACUUCGGGAUAAGCUUGGGAAACUGGGUCUAAUACCGGAUAGGACCACAUUUUGGAUGGUGUGGUGGAAAGAUUUUCGGCGUGGGGUGAGCUUGCGGCCUAUCAGCUUGUUGGUGGGGUGAUGGUCUACCAAGGCGUCGGCGGGUGGCCGGCCCGGGGGGGUGUACGGCCACAAUGGGACCGAGGGUAGGCCCAAGCACCUACGGGAAGGAACAGGGGGGAAGAAUGCACGAUGGGCGCGAAGCCGGUGCAGCAACGCCGCGGGGCGGAAGACGGGCUUCGGGGUGGAAAACCCUUUCGGUAGGUACGAAGCAGUGUGUGACGGUACCUGGUGAAGAAGCACCGGCUAACUACGUG
rnacentral:rRNA from 1 species